rnacentral:lncRNA from 1 species
GCUAAACUCAGGCUACCAUUGUAUCUUCCAGAUAGCUGAAUGUCUCCCAUAUGCUGCUAAGCAAACUCGCCAGAGCUGCACUGAUGGAGUCCUCCACAGAAAUCACUCCACAGAGAUUACACCUCCCACACCAUCUAAGUACACCUGAUAUUACAGCAGAAUGA